rnacentral:lncRNA from 1 species
UGUCCCAGGACCUCAAUGUCUUUCAUGUACUGAGGGGCCCAAAGCUGAACACAGCACUCGAGGUGUGGCCUCACCAGAGCAGAGCACAGGGGGAUGAUCACCUCCCUGCUCCUGCUGGUUGCGCUACUCCUGACACAAGCCAGGAUGCUGUUGGCCUUCUUGGCCACCUGGGCACACUGCUGGAUCAUGUUCAGGUGAGCAUCGACCAACACCCCCAGAUCCCUUUUUUUCUGGGUAGCAGCUUUUGAGCCACUCUGCCCCAAGCAUGUAGUGUUGCAUGGGCUUGUACCUGGUUUUGUAUACCAAAAAGUGAUCUCUUGGGUGGAGCACAGAAGUCUUAGCACUGAGACUCUGGUGUGACAUAGGGCACUUGUAGUCCCAUUGCCUUUUCCAUAAACUGAGCCUGAUUGUUUUGCCAGAUAUCUGACAUCUUGAAUUAAUGUAUUUGCUAAUUUUUGUGUGCAUUUGCUGUUGUUCUUUUGUAAAAGUGUGCCAAAUAACAAUUUCUGCUAGUUGCCCUUCAGCUGAUUCUUGUCAUCAUCAUUGUAGCAGUAUGCGUUGAAGAUCCUUGAAAAGGGAAAGUGACAUAGUCUAAAGAUCAGCCUGAGGAAGCUUUUGCAUAAAGGGCAAUGCAAUGGAAAAGCACGAAGCAUUUGGGGAAGAAAUGGGCAAAGUAUUUUGCUGAUAGUGAAAACGAGGGGUGUUAGUUACCUUUGUGCUGACUAACAUUUCCCUCUACCAGUCCAGCUUAUGUCCUUCCAUGUCCUUCCUCUGUGCCUAAUCCAUCUCUGUUUUCCAUCAUCUUCUCACUAUAUAAACCUUAUUACUGUAACCACUGUCCCCCUGUCUGCUCCUGCAAAAAAUAAGAUGCAAAAGUGAAGUCAGCUGUACUUAAUAGUGUUAAAUAGGUGGUGGGGUUUUAAAAGGGUGGGAGGGAAAUGUGUAGCCAUAGGAUCAGAGGCAAAAGUUCGAAGGCUUCAAAACCAAUCACUGAGUUUAGAAAGCAUGAAAGAUGUUCAAGGAAAGGAAACAGUUUUUGGUGGUGUCUGUGGAAGGAAGAGAUGAUUGAAGCUGCAAUACAGGAGACUGUUUUCCCUUAGAAACUGAGCUGGGAGGAGAAAUUCAAUACUCAGGAAUCUUCUGAAUACUGAAGGAGAGAAAGAAAAGACACUAAACGCCGCGGUGCUGUGAAAGGGGAUAGCUUUCAGGAGAUGCUACGGGAGAGGUGCCACGCUAAAGCAAGAUGGAGUGCAGCAACAAGUCCGGUGCCUUCCAGCGCCCGUUCUUUCCCC